GUGAGCUCGUUAACUUGCAUAAUUUCGAGAAACGAAUAGUCGAACAGAAAGAUUUUCGUCUUACUUAAUGGCUUACAUCCUUACAUUACAUACCCUGCUUUAUGUUUAUCGUAUGUAUUAAGACAGCUUAAAGUAGUAUUUCAAAAUGUCUUAACAAGUUGCUGCGUUACGAUAUUUCGAGCGGCCCGUGCAUGCGCUUUGAACUACAUUUAAUUGUAUGAUGGAUUUAAAAUAUUGAAACGUUUGAAAGUAGUGAUAUUCUAAUGUAAUAUAUUUAUCUUUUGAUCCUUAAUUAUAUGUCAGAAAUACGUAUAAAUGUAUCGUAUGCGUGCAUCUGUUUCCCUAUAUAACAUGCUUUUUAUAGAAAUACCUAAGUAACAUGUAUAUAUUACCAUCACAAAGAUGAACCGUAAUCUGCACUACGAAUCAGACAUAACAAGAAACGACAUUGCGAAGAAUAUGCGAAGUGUAACAGCUCGACACAAUGUAUGACAGCGGUGGAAAUAUGUCAAGGAAUUACUCAGGGGGGAUUUGCUCCGUAACUAUAUUGUAAGUACAACAAGCUCAAGGCUCGACUUUUCGCAGUUGCUAUUUCUCCUUGUUUUUACACGUUUAACAUAUUACGACGUAAUAUAUCAAUUUCUUAUCCCAAAUACAUGGUUUUAUUAUAGUUCCAGAUUCGAGAAUCGCAGAAUAACAAAAAUUGGUAAACUUAUCGCGACGUUGAGUGGUCGUCACUUAUGCGAGAUCGUUUGUCACACGCGCUACUUCGUUUCUUACUAUUUCGGUACCGGGAAUUCCCUCGUGCAUGCACGGUUCUUUGUUCUUAUUUCGAUAUACGUAUAUUCGUUACAAACACACGUACAACGAACUCGGCUCAAACUGCGUCGGUUCGGAGCAACGUUCAACGUACGUGUGAACGCACUUUGUACACGAAUUAAAAAGAGAAAACAGUAGUACACGUGGCCAGAGCUACCGUGUGCAAGAUGCAUGGGAAAAAGGCUAUAAAUAUUAUCGCAAAAACAUGCCGCGUUCGAGUUAGACGCCAAUAAAAUUUUUUUAUUACUGUAUUUUUCUUCUUUUUGGAAAUUUAUCUGGUAAACUUAGACUCUUUUCUUUUAUGUUAUCUUAUACAAAUCAUAACUUGAGAAAUGUUAUUUCUAAAAUACUUAUUUAAUAAAAAAGGAAAAAUGAAAAUCUUCUUCUAGAACGUAGCUACAGGUCUAGUUUUAUCUUUUCGAAAGCUGUUACAUUCUCCAUUACAGAUGUCAAAAAAUAAAAAAAUGUUCAGUUUUAAAAUAAGAAUAAAUGGUUACCAAUCUUCACGUGUUUCGUAACCUUUCUGCAAAUUCCGUGUAUAAAUAAGAAUGCUAUUGGUAUUGUCGUUCGAAUAGGUAUGUCUCGAACUAAGCUCCAAGAAGCAGACAUUGUGAUUUAUAAUCAUGUAUUGCGCCUUUAAGUAGUCCCACGUGCGACAGUUUAACGGGGCGAAAGUAGCCCUUUGACCAGCUGAGGACGUAAAACCAUUAUCGAUUCCUUAAGGCGUAUCGUCGGUAUAUACAAAUCCUAAUAGAUGUAUAACUCUGCUUUGGUGAAAAGUUUUCCAGGCAAAAGGCGCAGUGUGUCAACAAAGUGUGAUUCAUAGACAUACAAGUUGCUUAUAACGAACGUUAAAAUAGUCUUUUAAUUGUUUUCAGGUCCUCACUCCAUCGAAAAAAACAAUUUUUAUGAAGACAUCGUAAACCACCUACUACAAUAGGACUAAUCUAACUAAUUCUAGAUGAAUGUUAUUUUAAUGGAAUUAGCUUUAUUUAUCGUAGGUGGAAAUUCUUUGAUGUUGAAUUGUCCCUUGUAGACCACCUCCGAUAAAAGCGUUCGAGGUAAACAGAAAAUCAAAUAAAAAUGAAUUUAAAAUCA